UGAAAGCUCGUGCAUAUGGGAGAAAAGAAACAAAGGGAUAACCUACGUUACUCUUCCUUAACCAAUUAGAAGAGUACUCCACAAUUCAAAACCGUAACCACCCAAAAAUGGCAAUGCGUUCGUGUGUCACCCUUAUCAUCUUCCUACUUUCUUUUUCGUUUCUCGCAUCCCAUGUUGCUGGAACUUAAAUUAUCUCCAAAUCCAAGUUGGAGAAGUGCGAGAAGAACUCCAACUCCGAUAAUCUCAAUUUCACCACCAAAAUUGAAGUCAACAUGGUUGUUCCUAGUGACUCGAGUGGAGGAGAGGCUUCGAUUGUUGUAGAAUUGGUGGAAGUAGAGGAAAAUUCAACCAGAAAGAUGCCAACAUUGCGGAUUCUGCCUGUAAUAACGGAUGUUCCAUAUAAACCUGAAGAGUAUUAUGUUAAAACACGCAAAUGUGAGCCAGAUGCUCGUGCGAAUAUUGUGAAGAUAUGCGAG